rnacentral:rRNA from 1 species
UACAGAGGGUGCAAGCGUUGUUCGGAAUCAUUGGGCGUAAAGGGCGUGUAGGUGGUUGGUUAAGGCCGAUGUAAAAUCUCCCGGCUCACCUGGGAGGCGCGUUGGCGACUGGCCGACUGGAGGCAGGUAGAGGCCGGUGGAAUUCCUGGUGUAGCGGUGGAAUGCGCAGAUAUCAGGAGGAACACCGAUGGCGAAGGCAGUUCUCUGGGCCGUAACUGACGCUGAGGAGCGAAAGCGUGGGGAGCGAACAGG